UACGUAGGGUGCAAGCGUUGUCCGGAAUUAUUGGGCGUAAAGAGCUCGUAGGCGGUUUGUCGCGUCUGCUGUGAAAACUCAGGGCUUAACUCUGAGCUUGCAGUGGGUACGGGCAGACUUGAGUGCGGUAGGGGGAGACUGGAAUUCCUGGUGUAGCGGUGAAAUGCGCAGAUAUCAGGAGGAACACCGGUGGCGAAGGCGGGUCUCUGGGCCGUAACUGACGCUGAGGAGCGAAAGCAUGGGGAGCGAACAGG
rnacentral:rRNA from 1 species